AUGGGGUCAACCGUCAUCCUUUCCCUCGUCCUGGCUGUUCUCCAAGGUGUCUUUGCCGAGGUGCAGCUGGUGCAGUCUGCAGCAGAGGUGAAAAAGCCCGGGGAGUCUCUGAGGAUCUCCUGUAAGACUUCUGGAUACAGCUUUACCAGCUACUGGAUCCACUGGGUGCGCCAGGUGCCCGGGAAAGAACUGGAGUGGAUAGGGGGCAUCUAUCCUGGGAACUCUGAUACCAGAUACAGCCCGUCCUUCCAAGGCCAUGUCACCAUCUCAGCCGACAGCUCUAUCAGCACCACCUACCUGCAGUGGAGCAGCCUGAAGGCCUCGGACACCGCCAUGUAUUAUUGUGUGAGACAGACCAUCCAAAACCUUCCACGGUGCAGGUGCAGACAGCCAGGAGGACGAGAGAGGACAGACGGGCUGUCUCCUUUGCCUGAGGGUCUGGGGCUCCUGGUUGCGGCGAUCUGUGACCCCAGGCGGCCUCGGGGAGAACUUCAGCCCGGAGGGGAGGCCGGCUCUCCCGGUCCCUGGCGCCACUCCCCUGACAGCGCAAAGGAACCUGGAAAGGGCUACAGGAUGAUCCCAGAAGCAGCGCUACUGGGGCCCAAGGCAGGACCCGCCCCGUGA